CAGGGUCACCUGGAAUGAUCUCAGCAUUUCCACACGAGCAGUAGAGAGCUGCUAUUUCUAGUGUCAGACUUGCUUUCUGGUCCAACAGGCUUUGUGCAGAAAAUGGUGGACUUCACUGCUGGCAUCAGUGUAAGAAAGGAAGGUUUUCUUAGAAGCUUCCUGAUGUGUUACCCGAAGUCCCUUAAGAGGAGGAUGCUUCCUUGUCUCCAGUACUACAAAGCAGCUUCUGAUUUGAGGCAGAAGAUGGGAACUGGGAGGAAGGGCAAUUGACUGUGCUCAUGCCAACUGUUGGGAUGAUGCUGCAACACCCCGGCCUGGCCUGAUUGCUGGAAAAAUGACAAGAAUUGAGGAAACUGAGAGAGCACCGACCUGCAUUUUGCAACAGAGCCCUUGUUACAGCAGUGCUGAAUAUUGGCAGAUACUUCAGACUCUGCAACCAGGAGAAAACAAGCAUCCUUCCUCCCCAGAAAGUGUGGGAGUGUGCCUGUUGCAGAAGUUGCUGUCACAUCAAGGAGAAAGACUCAUCUUCCAUGAGCUCCUAGUAUUGUGUGUACUUCCAGCACCAUGUAGUUGAUGCAUAAUUAACAAG